UUGCUCCCGGAUGUUAGCGGCGGACGGGUGAGUAACACGUGGGUAACCUGCCUGUAAGACUGGGAUAACUCCGGGAAACCGGAGCUAAUACCGGAUAGUUCCUUGAACCGCAUGGUUCAAGGAUGAAAGACGGUUUCGGCUGUCACUUACAGAUGGACCCGCGGCGCAUUAGCUAGUUGGUGGGGUAAUGGCUCACCAAGGCGACGAUGCGUAGCCGACCUGAGAGGGUGAUCGGCCACACUGGGACUGAGACACGGCCCAGACUCCUACGGGAGGCAGCAGUAGGGAAUCUUCCGCAAUGGACGAAAGUCUGACGGAGCAACGCCGCGUGAGUGAUGAAGGUUUUCGGAUCGUAAAGCUCUGUUGUUAGGGAAGAACAAGUGCGAGAGUAACUGCUCGCACCUUGACGGUACCUAACCAGAAAGCCACGGCUAACUACGUGCCAGCAGCCGCGGUAAUACGUAGGUGGCAAGCGUUGUCCGGAAUUAUUGGGCGUAAAGGGCUCGCAGGCGGUUUCUUAAGUCUGAUGUGAAAGCCCCCGGCUCAACCGGGGAGGGUCAUUGGAAACUGGGAAACUUGAGUGCAGAAGAGGAGAGUGGAAUUCCACGUGUAGCGGUGAAAUGCGUAGAGAUGUGGAGGAACACCAGUGGCGAAGGCGACUCUCUGGUCUGUAACUGACGCUGAGGAGCGAAAGCGUGGGGAGCGAACAGGAUUAGAUACCCUGGUAGUCCACGCCGUAAACGAUGAGUGCUAAGUGUUAGGGGGUUUCCGCCCCUUAGU
rnacentral:rRNA from 1 species